GGGAAACUGGGUCUAAUACUGGAUAGGACCAUUCCUCGCAUGGGGUUUGGUGGAAAGUUUUUCGGUACGAGAUGGGCCCGCGGCCUAUCAGCUUGUUGGUGGGGUAAUGGCCUACCAAGGCGACGACGGGUAGCCGGCCUGAGAGGGCGACCGGCCACACUGGGACUGAGACACGGCCCAGACUCCUACGGGAGGCAGCAGUGGGGAAUAUUGCACAAUGGGCGCAAGCCUGAUGCAGCGACGCCGCGUGAGGGAUGACGGCCUUCGGGUUGUAAACCUCUUUCACCAGGGGCGAACUAAGGACGGUACCUGGAGAAGAAGCACCGGCCAACUACGUGCCAGCAGCCGCGGUAAUACGUAGGGUGCGAGCGUUGUCCGGAAUUACUGGGCGUAAAGAGCUCGUAGGCGGUUUGUCGCGUCGUUCGUGAAAACCCGAUGCUUAACAUCGGGCGUGCGGGCGAUACGGGCAGACUUGAGUACUACAGGGGAGACUGGAAUUCCUGGUGUAGCGGUGAAAUGCGCAGAUAUCAGGAGGAACACCGGUGGCGAAGGCGGG
rnacentral:rRNA from 1 species